GGUAGUGUGGCUGAGCGGUCUAAGGCGCUAGAUUUAGGUUCUGGAGGCAUGGGUUUGAAUCCCAUCACUGCCA